rnacentral:rRNA from 1 species
AACGAACGCUGGCGGCAUGCCUAACACAUGCAAGUCGAACGAGACCUUCGGGUCUAGUGGCGCACUGGUGCGUAACGCGUGGGAACCUGCCCUUAGGUUCGGAAUAACUCCCCGAAAGGGGUGCUAAUACCGGAUAAUGUCUUCGGACCAAAGAUUUAUCGCCUUUGGAUGGUCCCGCGUUGGAUUAGCUAGUUGGUAGGGUAAAAGCCUACCAAGGCGACGAUCCAUAGCUGGUCUGAGAGGAUGAUCAGCCACACUGGGACUGAGACACGGCCCAGACUCAUACGGGAGGCAGCAGUGGGGAAUAUUGGACAAUGGGCGAAAGACUGAUCAAGCAAUGACGCGUGAGUGAUGAAGGCCUUAGGGUUGUAAAGCUCUUUUACCCGGGAUGAUAAUGACAGUACCGGGAGAAUAAGCUCCGGCUAACUCCGUG